CAGUUGUCAGAUGUCAGUGAUUGAUUGUUGACAACGGAAAAGGUGAUGAUUUUUCAUUUUCGUGGUUUUUUAUUCACGACUUUGUUAAUGGACUAUUUGGACAUACUGGAACCAUAUUGAUUUCUGAAACUCAUCAGGAGGUUGUGGUGGGAGUGUCAAAUCACCAGACCACAAGAAGUAUUUUAAAUUGCAAGAAUGAACAAAGAACUUAAUGUGGGUGAAUUUGGUGAACUUGGUGAACUUCCAGAUUACAAUGAAUGAAUGGUGAUGGCAACGAAAAGUUCAGCAACGGGCAAAGGAUAAAACAGCAACAAUUGGACGUCAGAAUAUUCGUUCAUCAACAAACAAGAGAAGGGAAAUAUUUUGGAUUUCAACAUUCGUUUCUGUUUUCAUUACUGCAGCGUUUUCGCGUCUACAUUUUCUCCAACAGUCGCGACUCGAUUGAAAAUAAAUGACAACGCCAACGUUCUUCGCAUUCAAGGAACGUUCAUAUAAAUAAAGAGUUUCGACAUCUUUUCCCCACAUUUUCUAUUUUUCUUCAGUGUGGUUUUUGUCCAUUGUCGUGUUUCGCCUUUUCCGGCGUGGAAUGGAUCUGUGAAUCGACGCCGAUCUCCGCCUACACGUCCACUACUCCAUUCCCUUCCCAGUCGCUUUCCAUUUUUCGUGUGGAGAAAACAAAAUACUCUGCUGUCUUUAUGUUGUUCUUGUUCACAUCACAGUUUUAUAAAAAAUUAUUCCCUUGUAAUGAAAAUAAUUUUUGAUAAAAUUCCCCGAAAUAUUGAUUUGGAGGGGAGCAGAGUCGACUGCGGUAUAAUGGCGCACCGGGACUUUAUAACGAUAUUUUGGCCAAAGAUAUUCCGGUUAUAACUUUGGGGAUAGCGCUGUAGUUUCCAGCCGUCUUGAAAGACAAGUAAAACUUGGCAAGAACUGAUAUACCACAAUCGAAUUUGAUAGGACUUUUUCCUCAACCCUCUUUUGAAUAACAUGUCGCUUAUAAUUACGUAUAUGACAAUAAUUGUGAAAUGCAUCUCAUCAAUAACACCGAAAAACGUCAAGAAUAUCUAUGAUUGUUAUUUACCUGGUG